rnacentral:rRNA from 1 species
GAUGAACGCUGGCGGCGUGCCUAAUACAUGCAAGUCGAGCGAACGGACGAGAAGCUUGCGUCUCUGAUGUUAGCGGCGGACGGGUGAGUAACACGUGGAUAACCUACCUAUAAGACUGGGAGAACUUCGGGAAACCGGAGCUAAUACCGGAUAAUAUUUUGUACCGCAUGGUUCAAAAGUUAAAGACGGUCUUGCUGUCACUUUUAGAUGGAUCCGGGUUGCAUUAGCUGGUUGGUAAGGUAACGGCUCACCAAGGCGACGUUCCAUAACCGACCUGAGAGGAUGAUCAGCCACACUGGAACUGAGACACGGGCCAGACUCCUAAGGGAGGCAGCAGGGGGGAAUAUUGCACAAUGGGGGCAAGCCUGAUCCAGCCAUACCGCGGGGGGGAAGAAGGCCUUCGGGUUGGAAAACCCUUUUUUUGGGAAAGAAAAGCAGGUGGUUAAAACCGCGCUGUUCUGACGGGACCCAAAGAAUAAGCACCGGCUAACUUCGUG